ensembl:lncRNA
CCAUACCACAAUGCAUUUGAUAUUUCGUCGCUAUAACAUUCGGUGCUUGUAUUUUACAUUUUUGCCUCUGAAUUAGAAUGUUCUGCACUCACCAAGCGCUGGGACCUCCUCCGUGUCUCUCUUGUCCUGGAUGCUGCUUCCCAGUGGGUGUGGGUCCCCUGUGAGUCCUUGCUCACUCUCUGGGUCAUCCAGGGACCGCUGAUCCUCUGCCUGCUUCUCCCCUCCACUCAGCUGCAGAGAAGCGAUCCCCCCAGCACUGUGCCCUCCUCUUGGGAUCUGCAGGCAGCACAGAGCCAGCAGAGCCACAGACACAACAACAGUCUGGCUCUUCAUACCUGCUCUGCUCUGCUCGUCCAACUGCAGAAUUCUUUGGUUUGUUCUUUUUUGCUUUUCUCUCCCAGUCGUCCCCACUGCUAAAUCCAACUGCGCCAGAAGAAGUACUUUUUACACUUUCCUCCCCUGGGCCGCCCCCUACCCCUUUGCAAUGCGAUCCACACCUUCACUCCUGCGCGGAAAUUUCUUCAGCUCCACACGUACUCGCAGCCACAGUGUCAGCCAGGCUCAGACUGGGCCAGACGUGGAGAGAGAUGGACUGGGAGGGGGGUGGGGAUAUGCAGGGAGGUGGGUUUCAGAGAGAGAGACACACACACACGCAGAUAGAGAGACGCAGAGCAAAAGCAGCAAUCCAGACAGAUGAAUAGACCGGGUCCCUAAUUGCCCUACAGCUACGGUCAGCUGACAAAACAGCGCCAGACCAGAGGUUCCCUCUUCACCUGGCUGACGAGUCACAACAGGUGCAAGGCUCAGACAGGAGACGGGGGGGGACGACGAGGGCGGGCAGACGGGGCCUGAGACCACAGGGCUCGCACCUCCCGAGUUUGUGAAAGAAGCUCCUUUUUCUCCCGUACAAUUCCUCAGGCGGAGAGCUUUUGCUCUGCAGAGUUAUGACAGCGCAAGGCAGCAGGAGAGAGGAGCUACUCCUAGGACAUUCAAUUCCACCACAGGAGGAGGAGGAGGAGGAAGAGACAACAAGGGGGAAGACAAGGAUUGUGUGUGUGUUAACAAAACCAAAGACCACUAAUCAUCAGAGGGAGGAAUUGAAAGUAAAUGAAAACAGGCAGGACAGGCCAUAAACUAUUUUCAUGGUGUUGUGUAAUUCGCCUUCACUAUCCGGAAGAAAAAGUAUUGAUCGCCGAGGGUGGAGGAGCACACACACAUUACACGAGAAUGGUCGAAGCAUAUGAGGGAAUAAUAACCUUAAAAGAUCUUGGUGCAUCCUCCGCACCCCAUCCCCCCGAGAGAAUGUGAGGCCCUUGAAAUGCCUGCUGUGUUUAUUUGACCACCAGUCUAGUUAAGGUACCUAUUUCAGUCUUCUUAGGUAAACCAGAGUGAUUCAUUCUCAGCAAGGAGUAGAAUAGAUCCAUUUAGGGCCUGAAAUGUAG